CAACCGUCAAACAUGUUUGUAUAUACUUCCAGAUCGCAUACGCCAAAAAUUGCAAAAAACAAACAUUCAGAGAGCAAGUAACGGGACAAAACUUUUUGACGGUUAUAAACGAAAAAUCACGAUUUAACGGUCAUUUUAACUCCGAUUUUGAUGAUUUUUUACAACCACACUCCUUGACCUUAUAUGAAUACAAUGAUUGAAUUCGAUCUUCAAUUUAAAAUAUUUACACUAGUGGAUACCACAAAAUCUUAUGUUAUACUUAAUAAAAGUAUGAACAAACUCUUAAGUAUUAGUGAAUCUAUUGUUUUGAUGGGAUACUCAUUCUACAAAACUAGUUUCAAUGAUCCAACCGUCAAACAGGUUUGUAUAUACUUCAAGAUCGCAUACGCCAAAAAUUGCAAAAAACAAACAUUCAGAGAUCAAGUAAUGGGACAAAAGUUUUCGACGGUUAUAAACGAAAAAUCACGAUUUAACGGUUAUUUUAACUCCGAUUUUGAUGAUUUUUUACAACUACACUCCUUGACCCUAUAUGAAUACAAGUAAUGAAUUCGAUCUUCAAUUUAAAAUAUUUACACUAGUGGAUACCACAAAAUCUUAUGUUAUACUUAAUAAAAGUAUGAAUAAACUAUUAAGUAUUAGUGAAUCUAUUGUUUUGAUGGGAUACUCAUUCUACGAAACUAGUUUCAAAGAUCCAACCGUCAAACAUAUUUGUAUAUACUUCGAGAUCACAUACGUCAAAAAUUACAAAAAACAAACAUUCAGAGAUCAAUUAACGGGACAAAACUUUUCGACGGUUAUAAAAAGAAAAAUCACGAUUUAACGGUCAUUUUAAUUCUGAUUUUGAUGAUUUUUUGCAGCUACACUCCUUGACCUUAUAUAAAUACAAUGAUUGAAUUCGAUCUUCAAUUUAAAAUAUUUACACUAGUGGAUACCACAAAAUCUUAUAUUAUACUUAAUAAAAAUAUGAAUAAACUAUUAAGUAUUAGUGAAUCUAUUGUUUUGAUGGGAUACUCAUUCUAUGAAACUAGUUUCAAUGAUCCAACCGUCAAACAUGUUUAUAUAUACUUCGAGAUCGCAUACGCCAAAAAUUGCAAAAAACAAACAUUCAGAGAUCAAGUAACGAGACAAAACAUUUCGACGGUUAUAAACGAAAAACCAUGAUUUAACGGUCAUUUUAACUCCGAUUUUGAUGAUUUUUUACAAGUACACUCCUUGACCCUAUAUGAAUACAAUGAUUGAAUUCGAUCUUCAAUUUAAAAUAUUUACACUAGUGGAUACCACAAAAUCUUAUGUUAUACUUAAUAAAAGUAUGAAUAAACUCUUAAGUAUUAGUGAAUCUAUUGUUUUGAUGGGAUACUCAUUCUACGAAACUAGUUUCAUUGAUCCAACCGUCAAACAUGUUUUUAUAUAUUUCGAGAUCGCAUACGCCAAAAAUUGCAAAAAACAAAUUCAGAGAGCAAGUAACGGGACAAAACUUUUCGACGGUUAUAAACGAAAAAUCACGAUUUAACGGUUAAUUUAACUCCGAUUUUGAUGAUUUUUUACAACUACACUCCUUGACCUUAUAUGAAUACAAUGAUUGAAUUCGAUCUUCAAUUUAAAAUAUUUACACUAGUGGAUACCACAAAAUCUUAUGUUAUACUUAAUAAAAGUAUGAAUAAACUCUUAAGUAUUAGUGAAUCUAUUGUUUUAAUGGGAUACUCAUUCUACGAAACUAGUUUCAAUGAUCCAACCGUCAAACAUGUUUGUAUAUAUUUCGAGAUCGCAUACGCCAAAAAUUGCAAAAAACAAACAUUCAGAGAGCAAGUAACGGGACAAAAUUUUUCGACGGUUAUAAACGAAAAAUCACGAUUUAACGGUUAAUUUAACUCCGAUUUUGAUGAUUUUUUACAAUUACACUCCUUGACCUUAUAUGAAUACAAUGAUUGAAUUCGAUCUUCAAUUUAAAAUAUUUACACUAGUGGAUACCACAAAAUCUUAUGUUAUACUUAAUAAAAGUAUGAAUAAACUAUUAAGUAUUAGUGAAUCUAUUGUUUUGAUGGGAUACUCAUUCUACAAAACUAGUUUCAAAGAUCCAACCGUCAAACAUGUUUGUAUAUACUUCGAGAUCGCAUACGUCAAAAAUUACAAAA
rnacentral:lncRNA from 1 species